CGGGAUUGGAAUGACAUGGAACGCAUCUGGCAGUACGUCUACUCUAAGGACCAGCUGCAGACCUUCUCUGAGGAGCAUCCUGUUCUUCUAACGGAGGCCCCACUGAACCCCAGUAAGAACCGGGAGAAGGCGGCAGAGGUCUUCUUUGAAACCUUCAAUGUUCCUGCACUGUUUAUCUCCAUGCAGGCCGUGCUUAGCCUGUGAGUGCCCCAAGCCCUGAUGUCCCGGGAGGCACAGCCUUCUGGUCCCCUCCAUGCCUUCUACACUAGUAAAAAUAAUAUCCCAGGGUCCCUUGCGGGGUUGAGGAGAUCCUCUCACCUCAGUGGCUGAUGUAAAAGCAUACUGACCUGGUGGCAGGUACGCAACAGGACGCACCACAGGAGUGGUUUUAGAUUCGGGGGACGGGGUCACUCACGCUGUCCCCAUCUAUGAGGGCUUUGCCAUGCCACACUCCAUCAUGCGGGUUGACAUUGCGGGCCGGGACGUCUCUCGAUAUCUGAGGCUGCUGCUACGCAAGGAAGGGGCAGACUUCCACACCUCAGCUGAGUUUGAGGUGGUCCGGACCAUCAAAGAGGUGAUGGGGGGUG
rnacentral:lncRNA from 1 species